rnacentral:misc_RNA from 1 species
GAACGCAUAUUGCGCCCUUUGGCAUUCCGAAGGGCAUACCUGUUCGAGCGUCAUUAUCAACCAUCAAGCCUAGCUUGUCGUUGGACUUUCUUUUACGACUGAAAUAUACCGUAGGUCCGAAAGAUAAUGACGGUGUCGUGUUUGACCCUUAAAUGCAACGAGCUUUUAUUAGCACGCAUUGCAAGUGGUCGAUCGACCCGGUCUUAAACCCAUUAAUUUUCUAAGGUUGACCUCGGAUCAGGUAGGAAUACCCGCUGAACUUAAG